rnacentral:rRNA from 1 species
CGCGGCCUAUCAGCUUGUUGGUGGGGUGAUGGCCUACCAAGGCGUCGACGGGUAGCCGGCCUGAGAGGGCGAUCGGCCACACUGGGACUGAGACACGGCCCAGACUCCUGCGGGAGGCAGCAGUGGGGAAUAUUGCGCAAUGGGCGCAAGCCUGACGCAGCGACGCCGCGUGGGGGAUAACGGCCUUCGGGUUGUAAACCCCUUUCAGCUCCGACCAAGGCUCUGUUUCUGCAGGGUUGAGUGUAGGGGUAGAAGAAGCACCGGCUAACUACGUGCCAGCAGCCGCGGUAAUACGUAGGGUGCGAGCGUUGUCCGGAUUUAUUGGGCGUAAAGGGCUCGUAGGCGGCUUGUCGCGUCGGGAGUGAAAGCCCGCUGCUUAACGGCGGGUUGGCUUCCGGUACGGGCAGGCUGGAGUGUGGUAGGGGAGACUGGAAUUCCUGGUGUAGCGGUGGAAUGCGCAGAUAUCAGGAGGAACACCGGUGGCGAAGGCGGGUCCCUGGGCCAUUACUGACGCUGAGGAGCGAAAGCGUGGGGAGCGAACAGGAUUAGAUACCCUGGUAGUCCACGCCGUAAACGUUGGGCGCUAGGUGUGGGGACUGUUUCCACGGUCUCCGUGCCGGAGCUAACGCAUUAAGCGCCCCGC